rnacentral:rRNA from 1 species
AGCGAACGCUGGCGGCAGGCCUAACACAUGCAAGUCGAACGAACCUUUCGGGGUUAGUGGCGGACGGGUGAGUAACACGUGGGAACGUGCCUUUAGGUUCGGAAUAACUCAGGGAAACUUGUGCCAAUACCGAAUGUGCCCUUCGGGGGAAAGAUUUAUCGCCUUUAGAGCGGCCCGCGUCUGAUUAGCUAGUUGGUUGAGGUAAUGGCUCACCAAGGCGACGAUCAGUAGCUGGUCUGAGAGGAUGAUCAGCCACAUUGGGACUGAGACACGGCCCAAACUCCUACGGGAGGCAGCAGUGGGGAAUCUUGCGCAAUGGGCGAAAGCCUGACGCAGCCAUGACGCGUGAAUGAUGAAGGUCUUAGGAUUGUAAAAUUCUUUCACCGGGGACGAUAAUGACGGUACCCGGAGAAGAAGCCCCGGCUAACUUCGUG